rnacentral:rRNA from 1 species
UACGUAGGGUGCAAGCGUUAAUCGGAAUUACUGGGCGUAAAGCGUGCGCAGGCGGUUUUGUAAGUCUGUUGUGAAAUCCCCGGGCUUAACCUGGGAACUGCAUUUGUGACUGCAUCGCUGGAGUGCGGCAGAGGGGGAUGGAAUUCCGCGUGUAGCAGUGAAAUGCGUAGAUAUGCGGAGGAACACCGAUGGCGAAGGCAAUCCCCUGGGCCUGCACUGACGCUCAUGCACGAAAGCGUGGGGAGCAAACAGG